GGGUGGGGCUGAAGAAAACCUCCACCUGUCCCUCCCCCACAACACCAUUCCCACACUGGUCAAAUCCCCAGCUAAACACUGUCCUCCUACCUCGGCCUCAGCUGCAGAAGGAAGCUCAGCAUUCACCACAUGAAGCAUCUGGGAAAACCCAAGGCUGGCUAAAAUGUUGUGACUUACCCAAGGUUCACACAGCAAGGAGGGCAAAGCUGGGCUGAGACCAGGUGACCAGGGCCUGGUUGAUGGAGGCCAGGCAAACUGGAUUGGCUUCUGUUCCCUAUUCACCAAGAAUCAUAAUGGAAAGAAGUUAGAAAUAAAGGAGAAAACAGACACCGUAAAGGCUCACGAAGGAGACGGGACUUCAGAUUCAGAAAAACCAGUUCCUCCACCUGGAAGAGAAGGGGAUUGAACUUCACGUUGACUGAUGAUUCUUCUGGCUCCAGGGUUGGAGGAUGCGCCCCAGCAGCCCCACCUCGUCCCAGCAGGCUGCACCUCCUGGGAGCAACAGGUACAAAGCCGGGCUUCAGCUGGCGUGUUGAGGAUGGCACAGGGAAGAGUAGAAGUCCCAAGAUCAGAGUUUCCUGUGGCGGCCUUCCCAUGGUUUGGUGGCAGCAGUGGGAUCCAAGAGAAAUUCUUGGAAAGGAACCUGGUGAGGACUCUGGAAUGCAGAUUUUUGAAAACUUUCAGAUCAUAAAACUAAACUGGGUAUGAAUUUCCAAAAUGAGUAGAAGAAUGGAUUCAAACAGAAUUAAAUAGCAUGGAACCAAACAAACUGAAGAGGAUGAUCAUUUUUAUGACUCUUAUUUAAAAUAUCACUGGUUUUCUAAUGUUCUGCUCUUCCAGAUUUGGGGAAAUCUUUGUCUCUUUUAUGCUACCAACAAUUUGAUAGUGUGAAAAAAGAUAUGAUGUAUCUUUCUUUUUCCUCCCUUCCUGAUUCCUCCAGAAUUCAAAAACUUUUGAGUAUUCUUUUUUAUU